UUCGCCCUUUUCUUUUUCAACCCGCAAGCCAUAAUCUCCAUUUUCUUCUUCAACCCGCAAGCCAUAAUCUUCUAGCCCCAUUCUUGCUGAGACGUCACUCUUCCUCAGCCCGCAAGCGUCCCCUUCUCUCCAGCGGUUGCCGUCGUCUUCGUUCUCUCCAACGAGAAAUAAUUGUUGAAUCGGCUUCAUUCCACGAAUCGUCCAGAAGGUUCUUCAAUUUCGUCCACGAAUCGGCUUGGCUCUACGCUAUACAGCAUCUGCCACUACAAAUUUGCCACUACCAUUGUGCGAUUUGGGGAUUUGUCGAGCAAAUAUGUGCUGCCUUCUGCAACUCAUAACUGAUCAGAGUGAGGAUUUGCCAUCCUCUAGAAAAUGUGCUAUUGAUUAUGUGUUCCUUGAUUGUUUACUGCUUUUUAGAUGAUUGUCUUACAUGGUGUGUGUUACCUUGCCCUUGUGUUUUUAUAAUUGAAGUCUCACAUUUAAAAAACGUGAUUCACACACAUGCUAAUGCCUAGCGAUUUGGAGCAACUCUAUUUUUUACGUCUAGCAGGAGACCUAACAUUACAGAGGGAUUGAGAAAACUACAAUGUUGUUCUCUAAUUUUUGUUGGGGGUAACUCUCCAUUUCACUCAGAGGCUCUCCACAUGACUUCCAAUCUAGAUAGGUGAUAUAGUGCAUUAGUUGAGGUAUGCAACAGUUCUAUCCCAUCCUGUUUUAUGUUCAUAUAUGGCUAGUGUGAGAAUGAGCUUUAUUUACUUGGGAGGUGUGGGGAACAAA